rnacentral:rRNA from 1 species
CCUGGUCGAUCCUGCCAGUAACAUAUGCUUGUCUUAAAGACUAAGCCAUGCAUGUCUAAGUAUAAACCAAUUUAUACGGUGAAACUGCGAAUGGCUCAUUAAAUCAGUUAUAGUUUAUUUGAUAAUACCUACUACUUGGAUAACCGUAGUAAUUCUAGAGCUAAUACAUGCUAAAAGGGGAAACUCUCGUGGAAUCCCCGCAUUUAUUAGAUAAAAAACCAAUGCAGGGGGUUCACGCCUCCUGGUUCAUUGAUGAUUCAUAAUAACUGAGCGAAUCGCAUGGCCUUGUGCCGGCGAUGAUUCAUUCAAAUUUCUGCCCUAUCAACUUUCGAUGGUAGUGUAGUGGACUACCAUGGUGAUAACGGGUGACGGGGAAUUAGGGUUCGGUUCCGGAGAGGGAGCCUGAGAGAUGGCUACCACUUCCAAGGAAGGCAGCAGGCGCGCAACUUACCCAAUCCCGACACGGGGAGGUAGUGACAAUAAAUAACAAUACGGGUCUUGACAAAAGUCUCGUAAUUGGAAUGAGUACAAUUUAAACCCCUUAACGAGGAACAAUUGGAGGGCAAGUCUGGUGCCAGCAGCCGCGGUAAUUCCAGCUCCAAUAGCGUAUAUUAAAGUUGUUGCAGUUAAAAAGCUCGUAGUCGGACUUCAGGGAGGUAGGAAUUCGGUCUGCCGAGAUGGUGUGUACUAGUUCCUUCCCCCUUCCUUCCAGUAUGCCACCUUCUGCUCUUAAGUGAGUGGGAGGGUAUUUUUCAUUCGUGGAAAAACAGUGGUGGUUUCGGCCAUCAUUGGAGGCUCUGGAUCGUUUACUUUGAAAAAAUUAGGGUGUUUAAAGCAGGCCCUUUGUGCCUUGAAUACAUUAGCAUGGGAUAAUAGAAUAGGACCGAUCUCCUAUUUUGUUGGUUUCUAGGGGAUUCAGUAAUGAUUAAUGGAGAUGGUUGGGGCGAUUCAUAUUUAAUUGUCAGAGGUGAAAUUCUUGGAUUUAUGAAAGAUGAACUGGUGCGAAAGCGUCUCGCAAGGACGUUCUCAUCGAUCAAGAACGAAAGUUAAGGGAUCGAAGACGAUCAGAUACCGUCGUAGUCUUAACCAUAAACGAUGCCGACCAGGGAUUGGGAGACGUUACAUGGAUGACUCCCCCAGCACCUUGCGAGAAAUCACAAGUCUUUGGGUUCCGGGGGGAGUAUGGUCGCAAGGCUGAAACUUAAAGGAAUUGACGGAAGGGCACCACCAGGAGUGGAGCCUGCGGCUUAAUUUGACCCAACACGGGAAAACUUACCAGGUCCAGACAUAGUAAGGAUUGACAGAUUGAGAGCUCUUUCUUGAUUCUAUGGGUGGUGGUGCAUGGCCGUUCUUAGUUGGUGGAGUGAUUUGUCUGGUUAAUUCCGAUAACGAACGAGACCUCAGCCUACUAAAUAGUUACUUGAACCUUCUAUAUAGGUGAAGCAGGCCGAAGUUGUGAGGUGGU